AGUUAAUUAGCUUAUUAAGCAUUUAUCUUGAAAAUAAAAGGAAAGAGAAUCUCUCUAUUAACUU
rnacentral:tRNA from 1 species